rnacentral:tRNA from 1 species
GCGCCAGUAGCUCAGCUGGAUAGAGCAUCGCCCUUCUAAGGCGAGGGUCGGGGGUUCGAAUCCCUUCUGGCGUACCA